rnacentral:tRNA from 1 species
GCGGGCGCGCCGGAGGCUUGGCGCCAUGCGACGCCUGUUGAGCGUCGCGGUACGGUUCGAGGCUAUGGUGCCGGCAC